GGUAGCGAAAUUCCUUGUCGGGUAAGUUCCGACCCGCACGAAAGGCGUAAUGAUUUGAGCGCUGUCUCGACAAUGCAUCCGGUGAAAUUGAAGUACCAGUGAAGAUGCUGGUUACCUGCGCCAGGACGGAAAGACCCCAUGGAGCUUUACUCCAGUUUGAUACUGGGAUUCGGUACUGCAUGUACAGGAUAGGUGGGAGACGAAGAAGGAUGGACGCCAGUCUGUCCGGAGUCGCUGUUGGGAUACCACCCCUGUAGUACUGGGUUUCUAACCAGUUGCCAUGAACUGGCAAUGGGACAAUGUCAGGCGGGGAGUUUGACUGGGGCGGUCGCCUCCGAAAGGGUAUCGGAGGCGCUCAAAGGUUCCCUCAGAAUGGUUGGAAACCAUUCGAAGAGUGCAAAGGCAGAAGGGAGCUUGACUGCGACACCGACGGGUGGAGCAGGUACGAAAGUAGGACUUAGUGAUCCGGUGGUAUAAAGUGGGAUUGCCAUCGCUCAACGGAUAAAAGCUACCCUGGGAUAACAGGCUUAUCACUCCCAAGAGUUCACAUCGACGGAGUGGUUUGGCACCUCGAUGUCGGCUCAUCGCAUCCUGGGGCUGUAGUAGGUCCCAAGGGUUGGGCUGUUCGCCCAUUAAAGCGGUACGCGAGCUGGGUUCAGAACGUCGUGAGACAGUUCGGUCCCUAUCCGGCGCGGGCGGAGGAUAUUUGAGAGGAGCUGUCCUUAGUACGAGAGGACCGGGAUGGACGGACCACUGGUGUAUCUGUUGUCGACCAACGGCAUGGCAGAGUAGCCAAGUCUGGAAGGGAUAAACGCUGAAGGCAUCUAAGCGUGAAGCCCCCCUCAAGAUGAGAUAUCCCAUUCGAAAGAAGUAAACCCCCUUGAAGACGACGAGGUAGAUAGGGCAGAGGUGGAAGUGCAGUAAUGCAUGGAGCUGACUGUUACUAAUCGGGU
rnacentral:rRNA from 1 species